GCACUAUAAAUACUAGCUCAGCUGGAUAGAGCAACGGAUUUCUAAUCCGUAGGUCAGAGGUUCGAAUCCUCUAGGGCGCGCCA
rnacentral:tRNA from 1 species